ACCCGGCCUCUCAGUCGGGGGCUACUAGUGGUGUGCGUGGCCUUGUUUGAGACCUGGGACUGCUACCAUAUAAGGGUAAACAUGGCUGACGACCUUAUACUGUAGAUUCACAUGUACUUUGCACGGAGGAAGCUGGCGAAUUACAGGCUAUUAUUGGGUUCAAUCUUCGUAGGUGGAAGCGAGAAAGAGAUAGAGAUCAGAACUUGGGAAUAUGAGUGACUGGAUAGAGUCUGGGUUUCAUGUCUAUCAAGUACAGAGCACAACCCAAAACAGACGAAAGUUUCGUCAGGUAGCUAGGGAAACUUGCGGAGAGUCUAUGGAGCCACCAAAUGACAAUUUAAUAAUGUUUGGAGAGAUCUCUGAAUUGAAAGAUCCAGUUGUAUGUGUAAUUUGUGCUAAACAGGCCAAGAUUGAUGCUGUUGAUUCAGCUAACAAGGAGUUCUUCCAUUGGAUCAACUUUCUUUUUGUCAAAGGUGACUACCAAAGGCGUGGUUAUGGAAGUCUGUUAUUAACUGCAAUGGAGCAGGAGCUUAGGCUCAAAAGGCUGAGACCAGUUAGAGUUGAGAGUGCUUUGAAAGCAGUGGAAUUCUUUAAAGCUCAAGGCUACAGUCAAGUAGGGGAACCAAUAGACUGUGUCUUUUCUGGUUCUGCCUUGUUUAAAACUUUACAAACAAUGGAGAAAUUCCCAAGAACUUAAUUAUCACAAGAAGAGUCUGUGUCCUUCCUGGGCUGGCCUGUUGUAUGUACAGAAGAUGUAGCUGGUCUCACGCCUGUAACUUAACAUCCCAAGACAAGUCAUCAGUCAUGUUCAUGAGAUAUGGACAUGGAAUUUUGUCUGCUUAAGUUUGAAAAUUCAGUUAACUUCUUUAGGGGCUGAUUUAUGGGGAAUGGAUUGGGUGGCUAGCCACCCCCGUUUUGGAGGACCAAAAAUAAUAAUUAAGUAAAAUUGAAAAAGACUGAGAAUUUUAUAGCAGAAAUAAAGACAAACACCUCAGACAGGUACCUCAUUGUAUUUCUACUUUGUGACAUUACUAGUACUUCUGGUGUUUACAUUCCAGUUCUUAAAUUGCAACAUUUUGGGGACAUGCUCCAUUGAUUCUACAACAUCCUGAAAAAUCUUGGAUCUGCUCCUGUUCUUUCCUGAAGGCAUGUUGGUUAAUUGCUUAGUGAACCUGGAAUCACGUCAGAACAAUCAUAAUAAUUGCAUGUUUGGAUAUUUUUAUCAGUUGUCACUUACAAUUUCAGACUCUUUUCUGUCAUUACUUUUUAACACAGAUAAAGACAACAAAAACCCUCAUCUGGAUGACCAAAAGGUGGCCAUGGCCACUUAUUAGAGGUGGCCAGGCAAUAGAGGUUUUAUUGACAGUAUUUUACUGACAAUAAUUUCGUGACUUUGAUACCUGGCCGCCUAAUAGGACUUCAACUGUACUAUGAUCCUGUCUCAUAUGGUGCCAGGCUCCACACCUGAGUGUACAAAUUGACAUUUAAUUUUUUAAGCUACUUUAUUACUUUUCACUAACUUGACAAUGAUAUGACAAUAUCUAAAGGUGGUGCAUUUUUAAUGUUUUAUUCUUAAAUAUUUUUACAUUAAUCUUAAUAAAUAGCAGGUCUAAGAAAAGAACUUCAACUGUAAAGUUGAAUUUGUUUACAGAGGUUUUCCCAAGAGUUGCAAGUGAAGGGGAAUUUAUUUUGGUUCUAUCAAAAUUGAAUAACCAGGAGAUUAACAAAUCACCACUACUACCAACAUCCACAAUGUUGGGGAAUUCCAAAAUUCUUAGACUUUCAGUUUCAUCUUUUUACAGUAUGUCUCAGUUUGGAAAUUCCUAACAUGUUUUUUGCAUGUUGGAUAACAAAUCACUUUUAGUCGUAACUUUAAGAGUUGACGAGAGAGUCGAGGAAUAUUUGUCUGUUUAUUGAAAUAGAAAUCUAUUAACAUAUUGGGAAUAAUUCUAUUAGCUUCAAUUAAUCUCUGCUGUGAUUCAGAAAGUUCAAUUAGGUUAAACUGCAAACACCUCUGAAACUAGUCUCCUUUCAUGGUUGCUCAGGAGAAUCAAUGCUGACAAUGCCUGGAAAUUAUAGUUUUCGAAGGCAGGUUAAUGUUUUUCACAAGGGAAUAAAAUCGUCAUAGAUUUACCU